AGCCUCUAGUGCAGGGAUGUCCAACUUGCAGCCCCCCAGAUGUUGCUGAACUACAACUCCCAUGAUUCCCUGGCUAUCUUUUUAAUUGAAAGAAUCAUGGGAGUUGUAGUUCAGCAACAUCUGGGGGGGGGGGGCGCAGGUUGGAUAGCCCUGCUCUAGUGGCU